UAACUAGACCUGAUUGGGAGAACAGAAGAGUGUGCUGUCUGCCAGGGGCUAAGAUACAGGAUGUGGACCUGAGGCUGAAUAGGAUCCUAGCGGGAGCGGGAAAGAAUCCAUUGAUUGUCCUUCAUGUGGGAACGAAUGAUACGGCUAGUUACUCGCUGGACUGUAUCAAGGAGGACUAUGCCAGACUGGGGAAGACGCUCAAAGAAAUCGAGGCUCAGGUGAUCUUCAGUGGGAUUCUGCCGGUUCCUAGAGCAGGGCGACGAAGGAGUGACAAGAUUAUGGCGAUCAACAGAUGGCUUAGGGAGUGGUGUUAUAAGGAGGGCUUUGGGAUGUACGGUCACUGGGAAGCAUUUACGGAUAGACGACUGUUCGCUCAGGAUGGACUUCAUCUAAGCAAGGAGGGAAAUAGAAUUCUAGGAUGGAGGCUCGCCGACCUCAUCAAGAGAGCUUUAAACUAGGAAGUUGGGGGAGAUGGUUGGGAGAUGUUCGGGAGAUCUCCACGCCGGAAUGUAACCUGGAGAGGAAAGUAAACAAAGUGAGAGGGGAUACCCUUGUGGUCCCAAGAUUUGAUCCAAGGAGGAAUAGUGGAGAAACCAGAGUAGCGGGUGAUGCUGGUGGUAAAAGGUCUCUGCACGACGGGGGAAAGAAUGUCACUGAUGCCAAACGCCAAAAAUUAAAAGGCCUGUACACUAAUGCGAGGAGUCUAGGUAACAAGAUGGAGGAACUGGAGUUACUGGUGCAGGAAGUGAAACCGGAUAUUAUAGGGAUAACUGAAACCUGGUGGAAUAGUACUCAUGACUGGAGCACGGGUAUUGAAGGCUAUGUGCUGUUUAGGAAAGACAGAAAGAAAGGCAAAGGUGGUGGAGUAGCCUUGUACAUCAAUGAUGACAUUAACUGUAGCGAAAUAAGAAGCGAUGGAAUGGAUAAGACAGAGUCUGUCUGGGCGAAAAUCACAUUGGGUAAAAAAGCAACUAGAGCUUCCCCUGAGAUAGUGCUUGGCGUGUGCUACAGACCGCCGGGAUCUGAUUGGGAUAUGGAUAGAGACCUCUUUAAUGUCUUUAAUGAAGUAAACACAAAGGGGAAAUGUGUGAUUAUGGGGGACUUCAACUUCCCGGAUAUAGACUGGAGGACGAGUACUUGCAAGAAUAAUAGGGGUCAGAUUUUUCUGGAUGUGAUAGCGGAUGGAUUUCUUCAUCAAGUAGUUGAAGUACCUACGAGAGGAGAUGCCAUUUUAGAUUUGGUGUUGGUGAGCAGUGAGGACCUCGUAGAAGAAAUGGUGGUAGGGGACAACCUUGGUUCGAGUGAUCAUGAGCUGAUUCAGUUCAAACUAGAUGGAAGGAUAAACAAAUGUAGAUCUGGGAUUAGGGUUUUUGACUUCUCGAGGGCUAAUUUUAAAGAGUUAAGGAAAUUAGUUAGGGAAGUGGAUUGGACGGAGGAAUUAGUGGAUUUAAAUGCGGAGGAGGCCUGGAAUUACUUUAAGUCGCAGCUGCGGAGACUGUCGGAAGCCUG
rnacentral:lncRNA from 1 species